rnacentral:misc_RNA from 1 species
UCUCCGUUGGUGAACCAGCGGAGGGAUCAUUACAGAGUUGCAAAACUCCCAAACCAUUGUGAACGUUACCUAUCCCGUUGCUUCGGCGUGCGGCCCGGGCCCCGCGCCCGGCGCCCCCCGGCCCCCCGUGGGCGCCCGCCGGAGGUAAACCAAACCCUUGAAUUGCAUGGCCUCUCUGAGUCUUCUGUACUAAAUAAGUCAAAACUUUCAACAACGGAUCUCUUGGUUCUG